AAAAUUAUCAUAUUGAUAUGAGACGCUCCCUUGUGAUAAAUACGUCUUGAUGUAGUUGAUGGGUGACACACACAUCACCUUGGGUAGCUCACACACAGCUCCUAACAAACACUUCGUCCUGGUUGGUACGACGAGUUAAUUUGACAGUUGAUUCACUAAUAGACGUCAUGUGACAUUGCCUUAAAAACUAAAUAGGGGAGAGAUCUCCGCUAGAUUAAUGUUUCCUCUGCCCGACUGGACACACUAGCCCAGUGGAGUUAUAUUAACGGAUAUAGUAUUGACAUUUCGCCAAACUCAGUUACAAUGUCACGACAACUUUCAAUGUGGACAUGGACUUUUCUUCUUCUCAUCUGCAUAUUUGUAUUGGUUUGCGUUUCGACAGUUGAUGCUUCAUGUAUCCGUAAGGCAGCCACAACAACCACAACCACGACCACGACGACAACAACAACUACUACACCACUUCCGAGUCCUUGACAUCACUUCCGAUUGAGACAGGAUGACAAUUAUGAGCAUGCUACUUCCGGUUCGGGAUCCGCCACAAAGGGUGCGAGGUGGCCAAUAUACUCCCUUUAUAGAACCUUUCUCGUGAUUAUUUAAUUUCUUUAUGGCUUUGGUUAUUAAAGUCUUGUUUGUUGUUUUUACUA